CGGGGUGGAGUAACGCGUGAGUAACCUGCCUUCAAGAGGGGGAGUAACAUUCUGAAAAGAAUGCUAAUACCGCAUGACAUAUCGGAACCACAUGGUUUUGAUAUCAAAGAUUUUAUCGCUUGAAGAUGGACUCGCGUCCGAUUAGUUAGUUGGUGAGGUAACGGCUCACCAAGACCGCGAUCGGUAGCCGGACUGAGAGGUUGAACGGCCACAUUGGGACUGAGACACGGCCCAGACUCCUACGGGAGGCAGCAUG
rnacentral:rRNA from 1 species